rnacentral:rRNA from 1 species
GGGCAAGCACCUGAGCUUGGAAGGCUUCCGGUCCCUUCGGGACGAGGCCUGCUCCAUGAAUGGAGGAGGCAGAUACCGAAGGAUCCACCGGAUGGAGGCAUCCAGAAUCCUCAGAGACCAUAUGCCGAACACAAUUAGCUAGGAGAUUGUGAAGAUAUGGUCCGACCUGCAUGGCGACAUGCAGAGCCAGGCAGAAAUGACCUGGCCCCCGAUCACUUGCAGAUCGGCGGUAACAAAUGUGUCGGUCCCUAUCCUCCGCGGGCGUAGGAGACUUGAGGAGAGCUGUCCCUAGUACGAGAGGACCGGGACGGACGCAUCUCUAGUGUGACAGUUGUUCUGCCAAGGGCACGCUGUUUAGCUACAUGCGGAUCGGAUAAGCGCUGAAAGCAUCUAAGUGCGAAGCCGACUCCAAGAUUAGGUCUCCCACCGGGUUAACCGGGUAAGGCCCCUUGCUAGACGACAAGGUUGAUAGGCCGGAGCUGUAAGCACAGCAAUGUGUUCAGGCGACCGGUACUAAUAGGCCGAGGGCUUGGUUUU